CCUAAAGGGUUGUCGUAGACUACGACGUUGAUAGGCAGGGUGUGUAAGCGUUGUGAGGCGUUGAGCUAACCUGUACUAAUUGCCCGUGAGGCUUAACCAUACAACACCCAAGGGGUUU
rnacentral:rRNA from 1 species